GUCUAUGGCCAUACUACCUUGAAUCUAUCUGACCUUGUCUGAUGUCAGAAGCAAAGCAGAGUUGUGCCUGGAUGGGAGGAAUAGAAG
rnacentral:rRNA from 1 species